rnacentral:misc_RNA from 1 species
GAUGAAGAACGUAGCGAAAUGCGAUAAGUAAUGUGAAUUGCAGAAUUCAGUGAAUCAUCGAAUCUUUGAACGCACAUUGCGCCCAUUAGCAUUCUAGUGGGCAUGCCUGUUCGAGCGUCAUUUCAACCCUUAAGCCCUGUUGCUUAGCGUUGGGAGCCUACAGUACUGUAGCUCCCCAAAGUUAGUGGCGGAGUCGGUUUCACACUCUAGACGUAGUAAUUUUUUCUCGUCUGUAGUUGAGCCGGUCCCCUGCCGUAAAACACCCAAUUUAUCAAGGUUGACCUCGGAUCAGGUAGGAAUACCCGCUGAACUUAAGCAUAUCAAUAAGCGGAGGA